rnacentral:rRNA from 1 species
UACGUAGGGGGCUAGCGUUAUCCGGAAUUACUGGGCGUAAAGGGCGCGUAGGCGGCCUUCUAAGUCGAACGUGAAAUCCCCGGGCUCAACCCGGGAACUGCGUCCGAUACUGGAAGGCUUGAAUCCGGGAGAGGGAUGCGGAAUUCCAGGUGUAGCGGUGAAAUGCGUAGAUAUCUGGAGGAACACCGGUGGCGAAGGCGGCAUCCUGGACCGGUAUUGACGCUGAGCGCGAAAGCCAGGGGAGCAAAGCGGGAUUAGAUGA